GGGACCAUGGGCUUUCCCCAAUGAACAUUGAUCGCCGGCCUGGACUCAUAAUCCUUUGGUCCACGGUUCGAGUCCGUGUGGGCCCACCA
rnacentral:tRNA from 1 species